rnacentral:rRNA from 1 species
CACGUAGGGUGCGAGCGUUACUCGGAAUUACUGGGCGUAAAGCGUGCGCAGGCGGUUUUGUAAGCCAGAUGUGAAAUCCCCGGGCUUAACCUGGGAAUGGCAUUUGGGACUGCAAGGCUUGAGUGCGGCAGAGGGGACUGGAAUUCCUGGUGUAGCAGUGAAAUGCGUAGAGAUCAGGAGGAAUACCGAUGGCGAAGGCAGGUCCCUGGGCUGACACUGACGCUCAUGCACGAAAGCGUGGGGAGCAAACAGG